rnacentral:rRNA from 1 species
AACGAACGCUGGCGGCAGGCCUAACACAUGCAAGUCGAACGCCCCGCAAGGGGAGUGGCAGACGGGUGAGUAACACGUGGGAACGUACCCUUUGGUUCGGAACAACUCCGGGAAACUGGAGCUAAUACCGGAUACGCCCUUACGGGGAAAGAUUUAUUGCCGAAGGAACGGCCCGCGUCCGAUUAGCUUGUUGGUGAGGUAACGGCUCACCAAGGCGACGAUCGGUAGCUGGUCUGAGAGGAUGACCAGCCUCACUGGGACUGAGACACGGCCCAGACUCCUACGGGUGGCAGCAGUGGGGAAUAUUGGACAAUGGGCGGAAGCCUGAUCCAGCAAUGCCGCGUGAGUGAUGAAGGCCUUAGGGUUGUAAAGCUCUUUCGCACGCGACGAUGAUGACGGUAGCGUGAGAAGAAGCCCCGGCUAACUUCGUGCCAGCCGCCGCGGUAAAAC